rnacentral:rRNA from 1 species
GACGAACGCUGGCGGCGUGCCUAAUACAUGCAAGUCGAACGCACUGGGGACGGUUGAGUAACACGUGGGUAACCUCCCAUCAGAGGGGAUAACACUUGGAAACUGGUGCUAAACUGAUACUGAUGUAUGGACCCGCGGUGCAUUAGCUAGUUGGUGGGGUAACGGCUCACCAAGGCCACGAUGCAUAGCCGGCCUGAGAGGAUGAUCGGCCACACUGGAACUGAGACACGGCCCAGACUCCUACGGGAGGCAGCAGUGGGGAAUAUUGCACAAUGGGCGCAAGCCUGAUGCAGCCAUGCCGCGUGUAUGAAGAAGGCCCUAGGGUUGUAAAGUACUUUCAGUCGGGAGGCGUUACCGACAGAAGAAGCACCGGCUAACUCCGUGCCAGCAGCCGCGGUAAUAC